rnacentral:sRNA from 1 species
UUUUUAUGUUUGUUUUGAAGAGAUAUGAUGAUGGAAUUAGAUUUCCCUAUUGGUUU